UUGAAGCAGGAGCUGUUUGGACAUUUGCAUGAGGUGUUGCGAAAGCAGUUGUUUGGGAAGUCUGAGGUCGGGAUGCGGAGGCCAGUGCUGGCAAAGUUGCCCAAGAACGGGACUCCUUUGUUGCCGGCUCAAUCAGAGAGCUUGGGGAAUAAUGAUAAUUAGGAUGUUAUCAAUUUGUAUUAGGAAUGGUGUUGAUUCUACUGGUAUGUGGACCCUGGUAUACUGCUUAUAAGUAAAAGAAUUUCUUUCCAAUUUUCUUAAGUUCUAUUUCAUCCGUUUCUGGUAUUUUGCCGUAUUGUAGAUUCUUAUUGUAUACGAGCUGUUUUACGAGGUCCAGUUUCAUCAAUGUCGUAAAUAAAGUUUCCGGGU